CAAAGUGCCUAAUAAUGUCA
rnacentral:siRNA from 1 species